rnacentral:rRNA from 1 species
UAAAUGACUCUCGGCAACGGAUAUCUCGGCUCUCGCAUCGAUGAAGAACGUAGCGAAAUGCGAUACUUGGUGUGAAUUGCAGAAUCCCGUGAACCAUCGAGUUUUUGAACGCAAGUUGCGCCCGAAACCAUUAGGUCGAGGGCACGCCUGCCUGGGCGUCUCAC